rnacentral:tRNA from 1 species
GCCUGGGUGGCUCAAUCGGUUAAGCAUCUGACUUCAAUUCAGCUCAGGUCACGAUUUCACACUUUGUGGGUUCGAGCCCCACGUCAAGCU